rnacentral:rRNA from 1 species
AACGAACGCUGGCGGCAUGCCUAACACAUGCAAGUCGAACGAGACCAUCGGGUCUAGUGGCGCACGGGUGCGUAACGCGUGGGAACCUGCACUUAGGUUCGGAAUAACUCCCCGAAAGGGGUGCUAAUACCGGAUAAUGUAUUCGGACAAAAGAUUUAUCGACGUUGGAUGGGCCCGCGUUGGAUUAGCUAGUUGGUAGGGUAAAAGCCUAUCACGGCGACGAUCCAUAGCUGGUCUGAGAGGAUGAUCAGCCACACUGGGACUGAGACACGGCCCAGACUCCUACGGGAGGCAGCAGUGGGGAAUAUUGGACAAUGGGCGAAAGCCUGAUCCAGCAAUGCCGCGUGAGUGAUGAAGGCCUUAGGGUUGUAAAGCUCUUUUACCCGGGAUGAUAAUGACAGUACCGGGAGAAUAAGCACCGGCUAACUCCGUG